rnacentral:lncRNA from 12 species
CAGAAGACUUGGGAUUUAUUCAGUUUGGGGUCAGUCUGGUCAGUUUGGGGUCAGUCUGGUCAGUCUGGGGUCAGUUUGGGUCAGUGUGGGUCAGUGUGGUCAGUCUGUGGUCAGUGGGACCCUCCUCCUUGUCGAUCAUGCGCUGGUACACGUGGAGACAGCCCCAGAGCACAAAGUGCAGGCUGGGUCAGUGUGGGUCAGUGUGGUCAGUCUGGGGUCAGUCUGGGGUCAGUUUGGGUCAGUGUGGGUCAGUGUGGUCAGUCUGUGGUCAGUGGGACCCUCCUCCUUGUCGAUCAUGCGCUGGUACACGUGGAGGCAGCCCCAGAGCACAAAGUGCAGGCUGACGUCCUGGGGGGAACAGUCUGGGGUCAGUCUGUGGUCAGUGUGGUCAGUGUGGUCAGUCUGGGGUCAGUGUGGUCAGUUUGGGUCAGUCUGGGGUCAGUCUGGGGUCAGUGAGGUCAGUUUGGGUCACCUGGGGUCAGCGGGGUCACCUGUGUCACCUUCUGUCACCUGCAGUCACCUCCCAAAGUCACCUUGGGUGGGAGGUGCCACCACCAGCACCAUUUGGGGUUUCUCUGGUUCUCUCUUCUCUGGUUUUGGGGUCACUCCUGUCCCCAGUUUUGGGGUUUUUCUGGUUCUCUCUUUCCCAGUUUUGGGGUCACUCCUGUCCCCAGUUUUGGGGUUUUUCUGGUUCUCUCUUUUCUGGUUUUGGGGUCGUUCCUGUCCCCAGUUUGGGGGUUUUUCCUCUCCCACCCUGGGGGGUUUCUCUGGUUCUCUCUUUGCUGGUUUUGGGGUCGUUCCUGUCCCACCAUUUGGGGUUUCUCUGGUUCUCUCUUUUCUGGUUUUGGGGUCGUUCCUGUCCCCAGUUUUGGGAUUGUUCCUCUCCCCAGUUUUGGGGCCGUUCCUGUCCCACCCUGGGGGGUUUAUUUGGUUCUCUCUUUCCCAGUUUUGGGGUCACUCCUGUCCCCAGUUUUGGGGUUUCUCUGGUUCUCUCUUUCCUGGUUUUGGGGUCGUUCCUGUCCCACCAUUUGGGGUUUUUCUGGCUCUCUCUUUUCUGGUUUUGGGGUCAUUCCUGUCCCCAGUUUUGGGGUUUUUCUGGUUCUCUCUUUCCCAGCUUUGGGGUCGUUCCUGUCCCACCAUUUGGGGUUUCUCUGGUUCUCUCUUUCCCAGUUUUGGGGUCACUCCUGUCCCCAGUUUUGGGGUUUCUCUGGUUCUCUCUUUCCUGGUUUUGGGGUCGUUCCUGUCCCACCAUUUGGGGUUUCUCUGGUUCUCUCUUUCCCAGUUUUGGGGUCACUCCUGUCCCCAGUUUUGGGGUUUCUCUGGUUCUCUCUUUCCUGGUUUUGGGGUCGUUCCUGUCCCACCAUUUGGGGUUUCUCUGGUUCUCUCUUUCCCAGUUUUGGGGUUGUUCCUGUCCCACCAUUUGGGGUUUCUCUGGUUCUCUCUUUCCCAGUUUUGGGGUUGUUCCUGUCCCACCAUUUGGGGUUUCUCUGGUUCUCUCUUUCCCAGUUUUGGGGUUGUUCCUGUCCCACCAUUUGGGGUUUCUCUGGUUCUCUCUUUCCCAGUUUUGGGGUUGUUCCUGUCCCACCAUUUGGGGUUUCUCUGGUUCUCUCUUUCCCAGUUUUGGGGUCGUUCCCCCCCCCCCCCCCCCCCCCCCCUGGGGUCGUUCCUGUCCCCAGUUUCAGGGUUCGUGCCCGCCCCCAGCCCCACCUGGUCCCCCUGGCGGGCGAUGACGGUGCCGCCCUUGGCGUGGUGCAGCAGGACGCGGUUGUUGAGCAGAGACGGGUCCUGGCGAGGGCAAGGGGAAGGUGCGGGGUCAGCAGAACAUCCUGGCCCCACAGGAGUCCCUAAAACCACCAGGAUCCCAUCCUGACCCCACAGAACCACCAGGAUCCCACCAGGAUCCCAUCCUGACCUCACAGAACCACCAGGAACCACCAAGAACCCCAUCCUGACCCCACAGAACCACCAGGAAUCCACAAGAACCCCAUCCUGACCCCACAGAACCACCAGGAUCCCACCAGGAACCCACCAGGAUCCCAUCCUGACCCCACAGAACCACCAGGAACCCACCAGGAACCAUCCCAACCCCACAGAACCACCAGGAACCCACAACAACCCCAUCCUGACCCCACAGAACCACGGGGGAUCACCAGGAACCCACCAGGAACCCACCCCAAUCCUAGAGAACCACCAAGAACCCACCCCAACCCUAUAGGACCACCAGAAAUCCACCAGGAUCCCACCAAAAACCCAUCCCAACCCUAUAGGAACACCAGGAACCCAUCAGGAACUCAUUCCAACCCUAUAGGAACACCAAGAACCCACCAAAAACUCACCAGGACCCCAUCCCAAUCCUACAGGACCACCAGAAAUCCACCAACAUCAGGAGCCCAUCCCAACCCUACAGAACCACCAAGAACCCACCAAGAACCCAUCAGGAGCCCAUCCCAACCCUACAGAACCACCAAGAACCCACCAAGAACCCAUCAGGAGCCCAUCCCAACCCUACAGAACCACCAAGAACCCACCAAGAACCCAUCAGGAGCCCAUCCCAACCCUACAGAACCACCAAGAACACACCAAGAACCCAUCCUCACCCCACAGAACCACCAAGAACCCAUCAGGACCUCAUCCCAACCCCACAGAACCACCAAGAACACACCAAGAACCCAUCCCAACCCUACGGGACCACUAGGAACCCACCAGGACCCCAUCCCAACCCUACAGGAAACCCACCAAGAACCCACCAGGACCUCAUCCCAACCCUACAGAACCACCAAGAACCCACCAAGAACCCAUCAGGAGCCCAUCCCAACCCUACAGAACCACCAAGAACACACCAAGAACCCAUCCUCACCCCACAGAACCACCAAGAACCCAUCAGGACCUCAUCCCAACCCCACAGAACCACCAAGAACACACCAACAACCCAUCCCAACCCUACAGGACCACCAAGAACACACCAACAACCCACCAGGAUCCCACCAGGAACCCAUCCCAACCCUACAGAACCACCAGGAACCCACCAGGACCCCAUCCCAAUCCUACGGGACCACUAGGAACCCACCAAGAACCCACCAGGACCUCAUCCCAACCCUACAGAACCACCAAGAACCCACCAAGAACCCAUCAGGACCUCAUCCCAACCCCACAGAACCACCAAGAACACACCAACAACCCAUCCCAACCCUACAGGACCACCAAGAACACACCAACAACCCACCAGGAUCCCACCAGGAACCCAUCCCAACCCUACAGAACCACCAGAAAUCCACCAAGAACCCCAUCCUGACCCCACAGAACCACCAGGAACCCAUCAAGAACCCAUCCCAACCCUACAGGACCACCAGACACCAACAACCCAUCCCAACCCUACAGGACCACCAAGAACACACCAACAACCCACCAGGAUCCCACCAGGAACCCAUCCCAACCCUACAGAACCACCAGGAACCCACCAACAACCCACCAACAACCCAUCCCAACCCUACAGAACCACCAAGAACCCACCAACAACCCACCAGGAUCCCACCAAAAACCCAUCCCAACCCUACAGAACCACCAGAAACCCACCAGGAACCCACCAGGAACCCACCAGGAACCCAUCAAGAACCCAUCCCAACCCUACAGAACCACCAGAAACCCACCAGGAACCCACCAGGAACCCCCCCCCCCCCCCCCCCCCCCCCCCCCCCCCCCCCCCCCCC